rnacentral:rRNA from 1 species
CCUACGGGGGGCAGCAGUGGGGAAUAUUGGACAAUGGGGGCAACCCUGAUCCAGCCAUGCCGCGUGUGUGAAGAAGGCCCUCGGGUUGUAAAGCACUUUCAGUGAGGAAGAACGCCUGGUGGUUAAUACCCAUCAGGAAAGACAUCACUCACAGAAGAAGCACCGGCUAACUCCGUGCCAGCAGCCGCGGUAAUACGGAGGGUGCGAGCGUUAAUCGGAAUUACUGGGCGUAAAGCGCGCGUAGGUGGCUUGAUAAGCCGGUUGUGAAAGCCCCGGGCUCAACCUGGGAAUGGCAUCCGGAACUGUCAAGCUAGAGUGCAGGAGAGGAAGGUAGAAUUCCCGGUGUAGCGGUGAAAUGCGUAGAGAUCGGGAGGAAUACCAGUGGCGAAGGCGGCCUUCUGGACUGACACUGACACUGAGGUGCGAAAGCGUGGGUAGCAAACAGGAUUAGAUACCCCUGUAGUC